rnacentral:rRNA from 1 species
GUGAGGAAUAUUGGUCAAUGGGCGAGAGCCUGAACCAGCCAAGUCGCGUGAAGGAAGACGGCCCUACGGGUUGUAAACUUCUUUUGCAAUGGAAUAAAAAGAGUUACGUGUAAUUCAUUGUAUGUACAUUGCGAAUAAGGAUCGGCUAACUCCGUACCAGCAGCCGCGGUAAUACGGAGGAUCCGAGCGUUAUCCGGAUUUAUUGGGUUUAAAGGGUGCGUAGGCGGAUUGGAAAGUCAGCGGUGAAAGUUUGCAGCUUAACUGUAAAAUUGCCAUUGAAACUGUCAGUCUUGAGUGCAAAUGAGGUAGGCGGAAUGUGUUGUGUAGCGGUGAAAUGCAUAGAUAUAACACAGAACACCAAUUGCGAAGGCAGCUUACUGGGAUGCAACUGACGCUGAGGCACGAAAGCGUGGGGAUCAAACAGGAUUAGAUACCCUAGUAGUCC